AACGAACGCUGGCGGCAGGCCUAACACAUGCAAGUCGAGCGAGGACUUCGGUCCUAGCGGCGGACGGGUGAGUAACGCGUGGGAACGUGCCCUUUGCUUCGGAAUAGCCCUGGGAAACUGGGAGUAAUACCGGAUGAGCCCUUUGGGGGAAAGAUUUAUCGGCGAAGGAUCGGCCCGCGUUGGAUUAGGUAGUUGGUGGGGUAAUGGCCUACCAAGCCGACGAUCCAUAGCUGGUUUGAGAGGAUGAUCAGCCACACUGGGACUGAGGCACGGCCCAGACUCCUACGGGAGGCAGCAGUGGGGAAUCUUAGACAAUGGGGGAAACCCUGAUCUAGCCAUGCCGCGUGAGCGAUGAAGGCCUUAGGGUUGUAAAGCUCUUUCAGCUGGGAAGAUAAUGACGGUACCAGCAGAAGAAGCCCCGGCUAACUCCGUG
rnacentral:rRNA from 1 species